AUAUAAGGCUCGAGAAGCCGUAGAAGCCAUGCCUGCAUGAGCGGAUACGGCCUUGAGAGCCGCCGGACAUGAGCAAAAAGCGGUUUCCGAAGGAAAACGCGGAAUUGCGAAUGUCCGCAGCAUUUCGAGAGUGCAAAGCACGAAGAAAUGCGU
rnacentral:sRNA from 1 species